rnacentral:rRNA from 1 species
CAGUAGCCGCGGGAAUACGUAGGUCCCGAGCGUUGUCCGGAUUUAUUGGGCGUAAAGGGAGCGCAGGCGGUUUAGUAAGUCUGGAGUUAAAGGCAUUGGCUCAACCAAUGUAUGCUUUGGAAACUGUUUGACUUGAGUGCAGAAGGGGAGAGUGGAAUUCCAUGUAUAGCGGAGAAAUGCGUAGAUAUAUGGAGGAACACCGGUGGCGAAAGCGGCUCUCUGGUCUGUCACUGACGCUGAGGCUCGAAAGCGUGGGUAGCGAACAGGAUUAGAUACCCCGGUAGUCCCUGUCUCUUAUACC